UCCUUAUCAUUAGAGGAAGGAGAAGUCGUAACAAGGUUUCCGUAGGUGAACCUGCGGAAGGAUCAUUGUCGAAACCGAGAGGAAGAACGACCCGCGAAUCGUCACCCCGUACAGGAAAUAGGGCUCGCGAGCACCGUGUGCUCGUGCGUCUCGCGUCGUGUCGGCGGGGGCCUUCCCGGGUCCCGCGUCGUUACGGCGGACAAACAACGCCAGCACGGAUCGUGCCAAGGAGCUGAAAUGGAGACGAUCGUCGUCCCGCGCCCCGGUCUCGCUGGACGCGGGGCGGGGGGCAAGGGCGAUCUCCGCUCUAGUAGAACAUAAACGACUCUCGGCAACGGAUAUCUCGGCUCUUGCAUCGAUGAAGAACGUAGCGAAAUGCGAUACUUGGUGUGAAUUGCAGAAUCCCGCGAACCAUCAAUUCUUUGAACGCAAGUUGCGCCCGAAGCCAUCCGGCCGAGGGCACGCCUGCCUGGGUGUCGUGAAUCCCCCUGCCCCCGGGCUCCCGCACGACAAUGUGCGGGGAAUUGCCGGGGCGCAGAAUAUGGCCUCCCGUUGGAUCGGCGUGUGCGGCACGCCGUGGUGCGGUUGGCCGAAAGUCGAGCAUUGCGGCGACGGGCUCCACGGCGUUCGGUGGAUCGAAUGCGAUUGGCUGUGCCGUGGGCUCGGCGGGCUGCGGGCUCCGGACUAGGACAAUCCCCGAGUGCGAUCCCAGGUCAGGCGGGGCUACCCGCUGAGUUUAAGCAUAUCAAUAAGCGGAGGAAAAGAAACUAACGAGGAUUCCCUUAGUAGCGGCGAGCGAACCGGGAGGAGCCCAGCAUGAAAAUCGUUCGCCGUCGGCGGCCGAAUUGUAGUCUGGAGAAGCGUCCUCAGUGACGGACCGGACCCAAGUUCACUGGAAGGUGGCGCCGGAAAGGGUGAGAGCCCCGUCGUGCCCGGACCCUGUCGCACCACA
rnacentral:rRNA from 1 species